GAUGAACGCUAGCGGCAGGCUUAACACAUGCAAGUCGAGGGGCAGCGCGGGUAGCAAUACCUGGCGGCGACCGGCAAACGGGUGCGGAACACGUACAGAACCUACCUUUGUCUGGGGCAUAGCCCGGAGAAAUCCGGAUUAACUCCCCAUAAUAUAUUUGAGUGGCAUCACUUGGAUAUUAAAAAUUUAUUGGACAGAGAUGGCUGUGCGUCCCAUUAGCUAGUUGGUAGGGUAACGGCCUACCAAGGCAACGAUGGGUAGCUGGUGUGAGAGCACGACCAGCCACACGGGCACUGAGACACGGGCCCGACUCCUACGGGAGGCAGCAGUGAGGAAUAUUGGUCAAUGGACGCAAGUCUGAACCAGCCAUGCCGCGUGAAGGAUGAAGGCCUUCUGGGUUGUAAACUUCUUUUACCUGGGAAGAAAACUACGAUUUCUAUCGUAGCCGACGGUACCAGAGGAAUAAGCACCGGCUAACUCCGUGCCAGCAGCCGCGGUAAAGUAGU
rnacentral:rRNA from 1 species